AGUCGAGCGGUAGCACAGAGAGCUUGCUCUCGGGUGACAAGCGGCGGACGGGUGAGUAACGCGUAGGAAUCUACCUAAUAGUGGGGGAUAGCCCAGGGAAACUUGGAUUAAUACCGCAUACGCCCUAAGGGGGAAAGCGGGGGAUCUUCGGACCUCGUGCUAUUAGAUGAGCCUGCGUAAGAUUAGCUAGUUGGUGAGGUAAGAGCUCACCAAGGCGACGAUCUUUAGCUGGUCUGAGAGGAUGAUCAGCCACACUGGGACUGAGACACGGCCCAGACUCCUACGGGAGGCAGCAGUGGGGAAUAUUGGACAAUGGGGGCAACCCUGAUCCAGCCAUGCCGCGUGUGUGAAGAAGGCCUUCGGGUUGUAAAGCACUUUCAGAUGUGAGGAAAGGUUGCAGAUUAAUACUCUGUAGCUGUGACGUUAACAUCAGAAGAAGGACCGGCUAACUCCGUGCCAGCAGCCGCGGUAAUACGGAGGGUCCGAGCGUUAAUCGGAAUUACUGGGCGUAAAGCGCGCGUAGGUGGUUUCGUCAGUCAGAUGUGAAAGCCCAGGGCUCAACCUUGGAACUGCACCUGAUACUGCGGAACUAGAGUACGAUAGAGGGGGAGUGGAAUUUCCGGUGUAGCGGUGAAAUGCGUA
rnacentral:rRNA from 1 species